rnacentral:lncRNA from 1 species
GGCUGUCAUCACUGAAUUCUGAUGGGCUACCUGGAACUGGCUUAGGGUGGGAUUACAUACGCCUCCUGCCACAUCGGAUUUCCUUCUAUUUUGUCAGGGGUGGCAUCAUCCAGUGAGUAAAUCUGUUAGUGAUCUCCCUCGCAUAACCUAGGAAUUCUCUCAGGAUCCAUUUUUCCAGUAGUUUUGAGAAAGCGACCAACAACAGCAAAGAGAGUAGUUCUUCCAUUCCAAGAGCAGCCAUCUUGCUUAACUGACAAACUAGAGAGAACUGCAAGGACUCAGUACAUCCCUGGCACAGUCCAUUCUCUCUCACAGCAUAUUGUAUGAGACUGUGUGAGUGCUGCUUCCACGCUACACUAAAAACCCAUGGUCCCUGCAUUAUUUGAGCAACUGACAAGCUUCUGAAGUUCAGGUUCGCGAACGCUGAGAGCAGCACCCAGUGGAUUUGUGGCAGCGUUUCACUAUGUUGUCCAGGCUUGUUUCAAACUCCUGGGCUCAAGCCAUCAGCCUGCCUCAACCUCCUAAAGUGCUGACAUUACAGGCAUGAGCCACUGUGCCCAGCCAGGAAAUGUUUCAAAUACUUGAGAUUUUUGAUGAACCAAGCUGGCUGGUGUCGCCUCAGUUUGUCUAAAUUACCAAGGACCGCUGGAAUUUCCCUGGGAAUAUGUUUCGGGAAAGGUCAGAAACUCUUCAGUCGUCUUCACGCUUCCACUCAGUAGCAACGUUUUUGCACACUCAUUGACUAUCAACUGGUUGUCUAUGACUCAAAUUACAUAAUGAAUCCAGCACAUAAAUUAUUUACUCAGAUUUAAUGCCAGCAACUGUUAUCUUUGUAUUUUUUUCCCCUCUGCCAGCUAAUCUGGCUCAUUUCAUUGGAAUUUUGGUCAUGCCCAUUCUCCUUCUGCACUAAAUUAACUCCAUAACGUAGUAUAAACAGAACAAGCUUGUGUGUGAUAUGCUUAACUGUUAAUUUACCUAAUUAAACUAAUUCAAUUAAAUCAUUUACAUCUUUUUGGUAACAUGCCAGUUGAUACCACAGCAGAAGUGGGAUGUUUCAGAAGAUGAUUGUUCAGCAAAUGAAUGGAAAAAAAAAUAAAAGGAAAACAAAAUGAGACAACCGUCCAAAUCUCUUGGCUUGAAAAUUAAAUGAUACUGAAAAAAUGCAGCUUUCACGGGGCACUGUGAUUAGAUAUUUUUCUGAAAUCAAUUUUCUCUACAAAUUGGUAUUUUAACAGAGUGAUCACAAUCUAUUGUACAAAAUAUUUUAAACACUAUUUGUACAUUCACAUAUUUGGUAUGUUUAAGUAAAGUGUGCUUGUUCCCAC